rnacentral:rRNA from 1 species
AACGAACGCUGGCGGCAGGCUUAACACAUGCAAGUCGAACGCACCGUUCGGGGUGAGUUGCAGACGUGUGAGUAACGCGUGGGAAUCUACCCUUCUCUACGGGAUAGCUCCGGGUAACUGGAAUUAAUACCGUAGACGUUCUGAGGGGGAAAGAUUUAUCGGGGAAGGAUGAGCCCGCGUUGGUUUAGCUAGUUGGUGGGGUAAAGGCCUACCAAGGCGACGAUCCUUAGCUGGUCUAAGAGGAUGAUCAGCCACAUUGGGACUGAGACACGGCCCACACUCCUACGGGAGGGAGCAGUGGGGAAUAUUGGACAAUGGGCGCAAGCCUGAUCCAGCCAUGCCGCGUGAGUGAUGAAGGCCCUAGGGUUGUAAAGCUCUUUCAGUGGGGACGAUAAUGACGGUACCCACAGAAGAAGCCCCGGCUAACUUCGUG